GACGAACGCUGGCGGCGUGCUUAACACAUGCAAGUCGAACGGAAAGGCCCCCACUUUUUUGGUGGGGGUGCUCGAGUGGCGAACGGGUGAGUAACACGUGGGUGAUCUGCCCUGUACUUCGGGAUAAGCUUGGGAAACUGGGUCUAAUACCGGAUAGGACCAUGGUUUAGUGUCUCAUGGUGGAAAAAUUAUUGUUUUGGUGCAGGAUGAGCUCGCGGCCUAUCAGCUUGUUGGUGGGGUAAUGGCCUACCAAGGCGUCGACGGGUAGCCGGCCUGAGAGGGUGGACGGCCACAUUGAGACUGAGAUACGGCCCAGACUCCUACGGGAGGCAGCAGUGGGGAAUAUUGCACAAUGGGCGCAAGCCUGAUGCAGCGACGCCGCGUGGGGGAUGACGGCCUUCGGGUUGUAAACUCCUUUCGUUAGGGACGAAGCCGCACCUUUUUUGGGUGUGGUGACGGUACCUUUGUUAAGAAGCACCGGCUAACUACGUG
rnacentral:rRNA from 1 species